rnacentral:rRNA from 1 species
CUUGCUUCUCUUGAGAGCGGCGGACGGGUGAGUAAUGCCUAGGAAUCUGCCUGGUAGUGGGGGAUAACGUUCGGAAACGGACGCUAAUACCGCAUACGUCCUACGGGAGAAAGCAGGGGACCUUCGGGCCUUGCGCUAUCAGAUGAGCCUAGGUCGGAUUAGCUAGUUGGUGGGGUAAUGGCUCACCAAGGCGACGAUCCGUAACUGGUCUGAGAGGGUGAUCAGUCACACUGGAACUGAGACACGGUCCAGACUCCUACGGGAGGCAGCAGUGGGGAAUAUUGGACAAUGGGCGAAAGCCUGAUCCAGCCAUGCCGCGUGUGUGAAGAAGGUCUUCGGAUUGUAAAGCACUUUAAGUUGGGAGGAAGGGUUGUAGAUUAAUACUCUGCAAUUUUGACGUUACCGACAGAAUAAGCACCGGCUAACUCUGUGCCAGCAGCCGCGGUAAUACAGAGGGUGCAAGCGUUAAUCGGAAUUACUGGGCGUAAAGCGCGCGUAGGUGGUUUGUUAAGUUGGAUGUGAAAUCCCCGGGCUCAACCUGGGAACUGCAUUCAAAACUGACUGACUAGAGUAUGGGUAGAGGGGUGGUGGAAUUUCCUGUGUAGCGGUGAAAUG